CCGAUGGCAUCACCUCGUGGAGCUGGUGGAGUUUGCACUUGCUCUCCGAGAAACCUUAGAGAAGAUCAACUCACAGUCAUUUAAUAACUUUAUCCUCAGAAUAGGAAUAAACCAGGGGCCAAUCGUAGCAGGCGUGAUAGGGGCGAGAAAGCCUCAUUACGAUAUCUGGGGAAAUGCUGUGAAUGUCGCCAGCCGGAUGGAGUCUACUGGAAAAUCAGGGCACAUUCAGGUUGUCGAAGAAACGAUGAUUAUCCUUCAAGAGUUUGGCUAUAAGUUCGAGAAGAGGGGCUUGGUCAAGGUCAAAGGAAAGGGAGAGCU